GGCUCGGUAGCUUAGUUGGUAAAGCACUUGUCUAGCGAAUAAGAGUCAUGAGUUCAAAUCUCACCUGAGCUG
rnacentral:tRNA from 1 species